GACCUGAGCUGAAGGCAGAUGCCUAACAACUGAACCACCCGGAUGCCCCUCCUGGUGUCUUUAUAAGAAAGACAACAGAUUUCUCCCUCUCUCCUUGGGUGCACACAGAGAAGGCUACAUGAGGGCCCAGCAAGAAUGUGUGUUUGCAAGCUGAGGAGACAGAUCUCACUGGAAGCCACAUCUGCCAGCACCUUAACUUGGGCCUUCCAGCCUCUAGAACUAUGACAGAAUACAUUCCUGUUGGUUAAGCCACCUAGUCUGCGGUCUCUUGCUAUGGUGGCCUGAGCAGACGAAUACAAUUCCUCACAAAGUUGGUGAGCGAGGAGCCAGGCGCACUUGGAUUUCAAGUUCCACUUUCACGGAUUGCCUCACUUGGCCAAUACAGAAGUUCUGCUAUGGGUCAGACACAGUGCAGGCACUGGUUUCAAUGGUGAGCAAAAUGGCCACCGUUCCUGUCCUCACAGAGUUUAAAGUCAUGGAAAGGGGACGCAUGUUCACCAAAUAACAGCUCAAAUAGACCGAAAUUAGUAACGGUGUUGAGGGCUAUAAGGGGAUGUCACCUUGUCGAGGAGGUCAGAGACAAGUUUUCAAAGAAGUGACACUGGACCUGAGACAUGAAGGGUGACCAAGACUACACUAGGUGAAGUGGGGAAGGAAAAGUAUCGCACACAGAAGGAACAGUGUAUGCAAAGGCCGCUCCCACCAAGGAGGGAGUUGUUUUCUCACGAAGACACAUUGAGGUGUUUCCACAUCUGUGCCCUCUUCUAGACUGUAAACCCUUUGAGGGUAAGGUCUGGGCCUGGCUUCUCUCCCUACCCUCACACCUGGCCCGGAGAGGGCCCAGUGCCAGCGCCCGGCAAACAAGCCUGUGGAGAGACAGCACGUCCUCCUGAGUCAUCAGAUUUCACGGGGCUGAGCCGAAGCCCUGCUUGUCAGCAUGUUGCUCACUGAUGGGAAAAGCUUUCCUGUGGUCUAGACACUCCUGACUCCAGUCUAAAGAGACCUUCUAAAGAAGGUUUCGUCCCUCAUCCUGUGUGGCAGGGGCUCACGGUGUAGUGGUUACAAAACCCGUGAGCUCUGGAACCGGACAGACCUGAGUGGGCAUCAGAGCUUCCAUUCUUCCUCGAGAAGCUCUCUGGGCUUCAGUUUUUUCGUCUGUAAAAUGAGCACAGUCAUAGUAUCUCCCCAGGAGCUCAGCUGUGACGAUGAACUGGGGUGCCAGGACCCGACAGCCCCAUCCUCGCCCAGCGCCAGACUCUGCCUGCCAGACCCUUGUCAGCGGUUACGACCAGCAGCUGCCUCCCGCUGCCCGAGUUUUAUCAAAAGCUCGGUUGAGAGAAAUAAAGUUCAUGGGGGUUAUUUAAAGGCCAUGCAUUCCAUCCAUUCUUCCAGAUGAGACUUAUCCCUGAAUCGAGUCGGGCUCUCAUGAAGCUGAGUUGCUCUUGGACCACAUGAUUCAGCUGCCACAAAAUCUUUAUUAUGUCCCUCCCUUAUGAUGGGGCUUUGUGGAAAAAUGGCUGGAGGAGGC